rnacentral:rRNA from 1 species
AACGAACGCUGGCGGCAUGCCUAACACAUGCAAGUCGAACGAGACCUUCGGGUCUAGUGGCGCACGGGUGCGUAACGCGUGGGAACCUGCCCUUAGGUUCGGAAUAACUCCCCGAAAGGGGUGCUAAUACCGGAUAAUGUCUUCGGACCAAAGAUUUAUCGCCUUUGGAUGGGCCCGCGUUGGAUUAGCUAGUUGGUAGGGUAAAAGCCUACCAAGGCGGCGAUCCAUAGCUGGUCUGAGAGGAUGAUCAGCCACACUGGGACUGGGACACGGCCCAGACUCGUGCGGGAGGCAGCAGAGGGGAAUAUUGGACAGUGGGCGAAAGCCUGAUCCAGCAAUGCCGCGUGAGUGAUGAAGGCGUUAGGGUUGUAAAGCUCUUUUACCCGGGAUGAUAAUGACAGUACCGGGAGAAUAAGCUCCGGCUAACUCCGU